AGAGUUUGAUCCUGGCUCAGAUUGAACGCUGGCGGCAUGCCUUACACAUGCAAGAUCGAACGGCAGCAUGAUCUAGCUUGCUAGAUUGAUGGCGAGUGGCGAACGGGUGAGUAAUACAUCGGAACGUGCCCUGUAGUGGGGGAUAACUAGUCGAAAGAUUAGCUAAUACCGCAUACGACCUGAGGGUGAAAGUGGGGGACCGCAAGGCCUCAUGCUAUAGGAGCGGCCGAUGUCUGAUUAGCUAGUUGGUGGGGUAAAGGCCCACCAAGGCGACGAUCAGUAGCUGGUCUGAGAGGACGAUCAGCCACACUGGGACU
rnacentral:rRNA from 1 species